ensembl:snRNA U6 U6 spliceosomal RNA
GUGCUCGCUUCAGCAGCAUAUAUACAAAAUUGGAAUGAUACAGUGAAGAUUGGCACGCUCCCUGUGCAAGGAUGACAUGAAAAUUCAUGAAGUGUUUCAUAUUUUA